rnacentral:snRNA from 1 species
CGCUUUGCGCAGUGGCAAUAUCGUAGCCAGUGUGGUUUAUCCGAGGCGCGAUUAUUGCUAAUUAAAAAAAAAAAAGGUUCAUCGGCUUGUUCAUUCCCGUUAGUAUUGUGCUGCAGAGUCUGUUCGGAC